CGUGAACGAUGAAGUAUUUCGGUAUGUAAAGUUCUUUUAUUGAAGAAGAAAAAAUAGUGGAAAAACUAUCUUGACGUUAUUCAAUGAAUAAGCCCCGGCUAACUAUGUGCCAGCAGCCGCGGUAAGACAUAGGGGGCGAGCGUUAUCCGGAAUUAUUGGGCGUAAAGGGUGCGUAGGCGGUUAGGAAAGUCUAUAAUUUAAUUUCAGUGCUUAACGCUGUCUUGUUAUAGAAACUACCUUGACUAGAGUUAGAUAGAGGCAAGCGGAAUUCCAUGUGUAGCGGUAAAAUGUGUAAAUAUAUGGAGGAACACCAGAAGCGUAGGCGGCUUGCUGGGUCUUGACUGACGCUGAGGCACGAAAGCGUGGGUAGCAAACAGGAUUAGAUACCCUGGUAGUCCACGCCGUAAACGAUGAGUACUAAGUGUCGGGAUAAAACUCGGUACUGAAGUUAACACAUUAAGUACUCCGCCUGAGUAGUACGUACGCAAGUAUGAAACUUAAAGGAAUUGACGGGACUCCGCACAAGCGGUGGAUCAUGUUGUUUAAUUCGAAGAUACACGAAAAAUCUUACCAGGUCUUGACAUGCUCUGCAAAGCUAUAGAAAUAUAGUGGAGGUUAUCAGGGACACAGGUGGUGCAUGGUUGUCGUCAGUUCGUGUCGUGAGAUGUUAGGUUAAGUCCUAAAACGAGCGCAACCCUUGUCGUUAGUUACCAGCACGUAAUGGUGGGCACUUUAACGAGACUGCCAAUUAAACAUUGGAGGAAGGUGAGGAUUACGUCAAAUCAUCAUGCCCCUUAUGAUCUGGGCUACAAACGUGAUACAAUGGCUGUUACAAAGAGUAGCUGAAGCGCGAGUUUUUAGCCAAUCUCAAAAAAGCAGUCUCAGUUCGGAUUGAAGUCUGUAACUCGACUUCAUGAAGUUGGAAUCGCUAGUAAUCGCGAAUCAGCAUGUCGCGGUGAAUACGUUCUCGGGGUUUGUACACACCACCCGUCAAACCACGAAAGUUAGCAAUACCCGAAAGCAGCGGCUUAACUUCGCAAGAAGAGGGAACUGUCUAAGGUAGGGUCGAUGAUUGGGG
rnacentral:rRNA from 1 species